CAAAGUUGAUCGUGUUUAUGACGUCGAAUAUCGACGUCAUAAACACCAAAGUUGAUCGUGUUUAUGACGUCGAAUAUCGACGUCAUAAACACCAAAA